rnacentral:misc_RNA from 1 species
GAAAUGCGAUAAGUAAUGUGAAUUGCAGAAUUCAGUGAAUCAUCGAAUCUUUGAACGCACCUUGCGCUCCUUGGUAUUCCUUGGAACAUGCCUGUUUGAGUAUCAUGAAAUCUUCAAAGUAAAUCUUUUGUUAACUCAAUUGGUUUCUACUUUGGUAUUGGAGGUCUUUGCAGCUUCACACCUGCUCCUCUUUGUUCAUUAGCUGGAUCUCAGUGUUAUGCUCGGUUCCACUCGGCGUGAUAAGUUAUCUAUCGCUGAGGACACUGUAAAAGGUGGCCAAGGUAAAUGCAGAUGAACCGCUUCUAAUAGUCCAUUGACUUGGACAAUACUUUUAUGAUCUGAUCUCAAAUCAGGUAGGACUACCCGCUGAACUUAAGC